rfam:Oryza glumipatula chromosome 2, whole genome shotgun sequence.
AAAAAGGCAAACCGUAGGUUCUCGUGCUAACGUUUGACUGUCCGUCUUAUAUGAAUUUUUUUUAUAAUUAGCAUUUUCAUUGUUGUUAGAUGAUAAACCAUGAUUAAUACUUUAUACGUGACUUAUCUUUUUAAUUUUUUUCAUAAUUUUUUCAAAUAAGAUGAACGGUCAAACGUUGGACACGGAAAUCAGGGUUUGUCUUUUU